rnacentral:snRNA from 1 species
AUACUUACCUGGCAGAGGCGAUACCCUGAUCAUGAAGGAGGUUCACCCAGAGGGAGGCUUGACCUUUGCACCACCGCCUGUGAUGACCUUUGCGAAUCUCCCCAAAUGUGGGAAUCUCAACUGCGAGUUC